AUGGAAUAUGAAGAACGGGCAGAGUAUGUUGAUGUUCGGGCUAAUGCUCCCAAUCCCGGAACAUGGAAGCCCUCCUACAUGCCUCCUCCACCUCCAAAUCAGCCUCCCGGUGAUGCUCGCCACAUUUCUUUUGAGCCUCCUCCAUCUCUAGGUCACGAAAUCAAGGAUUUCACUCUAGUAUCUAAACCUGCCUACCUUAAUUUUCAUCGCGAUGUUGACCAAUUCUCUGUUGAGCAUGACUCAAUGAAUUCUCGUUUUCGUACCAAUGUUCAGGCAGGCAUUUUCACCACGGUCAUUGUUCCCAAGGGGCUGUCUACUCAUCUCUAUGUAGACUUAGAGCAUAUCUGUUCUCAUAGAGUGAAAUAUCCGGGAGCCAAUCAGCUCAUUGAGUCCUCUGGUCUUGCUGCUCCGUUUGCUUUUCACCAUGAUUACAAUCUCGCCGCUGUCCAUCAGUUUUAUGCCACGUGUUUCUUUGGUCCUGACAAGACCGUCACCUGGAUGACUUCUGACACCAAGCUCACCACCUCUUAUGCUCAGUUUUUUGCUGCUCUUGGGUUUCCUGACACUGGUUUCAAAAUUCACAAGUCCGACCCAAAUCAUGCACCCAAAAACAUUGAGGCAUGUGGCUAUCUUCUCAAACCUCUUAGUGAGCUUGAUGAGGUGGAAAAGGGCAAAGAUCUUAGUCAAGUAUCUAUUUGGCGAUCUCCCUUUUUCAUUAUCUAUCAGUGUGUCAUUCCCACCAUCUAUCCCAAGAUGGGUGACAAAGGGUCCUGCAACGGGUAUUGUAUUGAUCUCAUGUAUCGUCUCUAUGAACAUCCCAACGGAAAGAUCAAUGUUCCUCACUUCCUGUGGCAUGAGAUUCGUCUUGCUAGUCUUCAAUACAAGCAAUCCUUUCCUCAUGCUCCUUUUCUUCAGGCCUUCAUUGAGAGUAUUGCUCCUUUUCCCAUUGCUCGGACUCAUGUUCAUCAGCGGUGGGUCAUUCCACCUCAUAUGGCGGAUGAUUGGGCUCCCAAGAAAUCCUCAACUGCUCAACGGUCUGAUGCUUAG
rnacentral:rRNA from 1 species